UUUCCGGCACUGUUCGUUUUACACAUAUAUGUUUUGUUAAAACAACACAAAUAUAUUUAGUUUUCCGACAAAACACAAUUGUAUUGUGUUUAAUCAACUUAAAAUGUUUAAUUUUAAAUUUUACUUAAUUAUCAAUCGUUAAAGUAACGUAAAGGGUUUAAUUUCGUGAUUCAAAAAAAACCGGAAGUGACGAUUUCCAACGCAUUUGAUGACGGUGUGGAGGGGAGCAAGAGGUAUCAGUCAGGUUUGUGCAGAAUUUGAGACAUCCAGAAUUACCAUAGGCCCAUUAGAAUCAACAAUCUUUGCCAAACUUGAUUCGGACUGCAAAAUUUACGAAGAUGUUUUCAUACUGAAGAAGAGACCUUGGACAAAUACUGAAACCCUCUUGGUGCCCACUACACAGGCAGGGGUGUCCAGACCUGCUCUAGGAAAGCCAGUGUUCUGUGGGGUUCAGCUCUAACACACCUGCCUGGAACUUCAGGUAAGACUUUUUUGUUUUAAAAUUCCCAAGAACCUUGAUUAGCUGGUUCAGGUGUGUUUAAAUGGCUAGAUCACCCAAAAAUAAACAUGUCAUUAUUCACCCUCAUGUCGUUUCAAACCCGUAAGACCAUCAUUCAUCUUCAGAGCACAAAUUAUGAUAUUUUUUAAGGAUGCCCCGAUCAUGAUUUUUCAUGGCCGAUACCGAUUUCUUUUACAAGCAAACUGGACGAUUUUUUUUUUUUAUCUUUAAGCAACAAACAAGAAGGAAGGACAGUCCACAGUCUACAGUCCAAAAUUGAGGGAAAGCUCAAUAAAGCCCCUUUCACACUGCGAUUCCGGCAAAUACAGAUCCCGUAACGACACGUGACAUCAGGGCGUGACGUGUAAUGUACGAGUCGAAAACAUUAGGCAUGUAAUACUUUCACUGAAUCUGGCGAACGAUCUCGGUGUCACCGUGGAAAGUGAGGAACUAACUGAUCUCUGCUUCAUACAGUUUGCACUUUUUUUUUUUUCAGUGAACGUUGAUCUUCCUUCAAAACAGCCAGUAAAAGAGUCACACGAUAAUGUCAUCACUACGACACGGCAUUAGAUCUGGCUUUUGUUCACACAGCGCUUGUCCCGGGAUUGAACCCAGCAAUGUUACUACGUCCCCGACCCGAGUUCAAUGCUGGAAUCAAUCCCGGGACGUGUUUGCUUUCACACAGAAGUAAUGUAGUCGGAGCACGCGGGCGCACUUCCGGAAAAAUCGGCUGAAAAAAAUUCCAAAGACCGGCCGAUUACCAAUUGCGUAUUUAAAGCAAAAACCGUCUGGUUUCCAAUUUAUGGCCGGUCAAUUGGUGCAUCCCUAAUAUUUUUAUGAAAAUGCGAGAGAUUUCUGAACCUCCAUAAAGGCUGCAAUGCAACUGAAAUGUUCC